UCCUGGCUCAGGAUGAACGCUAGCGGCAGGCUUAAUACAUGCAAGUCGAGGGGCAGCACGAAUAGCAAUAUUUGGUGGCGACCGGCGCACGGGUGCGUAACACGUAUACAACCUACCUAUAACAGGGGGAUAGCCUUUCGAAAGAGAGAUUAAUACCCCGUAAUAAAUUGAGUGGCAUCACUUGAUUUUGAAAGCUACGGCGGUUAUAGAUGGGUAUGCGUCUGAUUAGCUAGUUGGUGAGGUAACGGCUCACCAAGGCGACGAUCAGUAGGGGGAUCUGAGAGGACUAACCCCCCACACUGGUACUGAGACACGGACCAGACUCCUACGGGAGGCAGCAGUAAGGAAUAUUGGUCAAUGGAGGCAACUCUGAACCAGCCAUGCCGCGUGCAGGAUGACGGCCCUAUGGGUUGUAAACUGCUUUUGUACCAGAGAAAACCUACUCACGUGUGAGUAGCUGAUAGUAUGGUAAGAAUAAGCAUCGGCUAACUUCGUG
rnacentral:rRNA from 1 species